ACGUAGGAGGCAAGCGUUGUCCGGAAUCACUGGGCGUAAAGCGCGUGUAGGUGGUACGACAAGUCUGCUGUGAAAGCGCCUGGCUUAACCGGGCGAGGUCGGCGGAAACUGUCGCACUUGAGGACGGUAGAGGGGGGUGGAAUUCCGGGUGGAGCGGUGAAAUGCGUAGAGAUCCGGAGGAACACCGACGGCGAAGGCAGCGCCCUGGCCGCCGCCCGACGCUCAGGCACGAAAGCUGGGGGAGCGAACAGGA
rnacentral:rRNA from 1 species